AAAAAAAAAAGCUUCAUUUUUACACUUUUGCAAAAAUCUGUCAAAAGUCUCAAAGAGACUAAGCUUUGCCUUACCUAAAACAUCAUCAAAAACAACUAUGGAGCUCAUUCAAACAUGGUUUCUUCAACUGUAAAGCUUCAUUCCCGACUGUUUUCUACAUGAACUCAACAAUGGCAGUCCGAGUUCUAGACCUUUUCAAGUCGUUUCAAGCCAAACUCCUUCACUCAUUCAUCAUUUGGAGGCUUAUUGAGCAUCUGUUUUAGGCCAACAACACCAAAAACCACGAU
rnacentral:lncRNA from 1 species